UCUCCUCCCACUAUUGCCACUGUUGGCCGCCCAGUCCCCACAACCACACCCCUCCGUCUCUCUCCCUCGCCAGCCGCCAGAACACGAACCCUAGCCCCUUUGCCCAAUCCAGGCCGCCGCCGCUGCGCCCCUCACUCCUCCCUCCUCCUCAUCAACACAGCCAGCAGGACCCUUCCUUCUUAGGCCCCAUGGCGGGUGGUCGAGUCUGGAGCGGGAUAGAAGGUCGUGGGAAGUUCGGCGCCGGCGGGAGGAAGCAGUAGGGGUGGGUGGAUCAGCAGAUGCAGGCGAGAUCGGUUGAGAGAGGCUAGCAAGCCAGAGCAGCAGGAGCAAGGAGCUCGAGGUGAUUCAUGGUUUACCCCUCCUCCCCCGUCCUCUAUCUUCCCCUGCCCUCACUCUCGUCUCCUUUUUAUCUCAUGGGUGACGGCGUCGGCUGGGCGCAGCGAGGAGUGGAAGGCACAUGCCACGUGCGGGACGGAGCAGCAGGAGCAAGGAUCUGUUGCAGGGGCGCCACAAGGAGUGGAAGGCCAAGGUCGCCAACUCUACAAAUUUGAGGUUCAGGCAGCAUUGUUGAGGGAAGAUGCAAGUUCUGGAUGCGAGGCACUACAAGCUAUACCUGGAGAACAAGUUCAGGGAUGGGACCUGGGAGUACGAGGACCUCGGCAGUUACUUUAGCGACGGGAGCUUGAUACUGCUGCCACUGUCAUCUUCAACCACGACCACAUCGAUACCCCAUGCGUCAAAAAUAUUCUCAAUGCCAAGUCUUGGAUCUGGGAUUGCUCCAGCCUGCUUCCCAAGGCAUACUUCACCCCAGUUGAUAAUAUGCAAAAGAUAUUCCCUUCAGUUUUGAAUUAGAGUGCAGUGAUGAAGAAGAUUCUUUUUCAAUUUAAUGAAUUGGUCCAAAUCGAUUGUAAAGUUUGACAAGUGGCCGUCCUCUAAAGAAGGCUCUUCAGAAAGGUAAUUCUCGAAAAAGCUCUAGCGUAUAUAUGUGGAAGCAUAGAAACAAUUCUCUGUUUUUUAACAGAUAUAUGUUGAUGCACGGAAAAUGUAUACGGUGGUUUCCAUUCUGUGUCAUGGGUAGUACAUGGAGCUUAUUUACUUGGCCACUCUUAUGGUUUUAUUUUAUCUAUACUUGAUAACUCAAGAGCUAAUGUUAGGUUCUACCAUAUUGAUUUUUAGCUCCGGUUUAUUAGGUUCUGCUGUGGGUAGAGGAGCAAUUAGUGUUCUCAGUUUAUCUAAUGAACGUCUGUUGACGCAUGCAAACGGUAUAGAAACAAAUACCCUUAUCUGUUUUCUUCCAUUUGGUAAUAGGUUUCCCUUCAUCACAUGCUUAUUUUUCUUUCACAAAAUAGUUUUACAUUUCCGAAGAUUAUUAACUUAAUAAGAUGCUGGUGUCCAUUGGUAAAAUUAGCAAGUCGUUCCCUCUUUUCAUCUGCUCACUAUUUCUGCUACCGUUGGUAAAAGUGCGGUGUGGUCACCAUACAAUGGUGCCGUCAGCAAGUAUUGUUAGCAGUUUUCUUUUUGAAAACUAAAAGUUGAUUCCAUUUGCCAUGGCCAUGAGAUGACGUUGUGGCCAUGGAUGUUCUCUGCAAGUACCAUCUUCUUCCUCAUUCCCUCCACGCACCAAUGUUUUUUUGCUUGUGCUCUUACAAAUUAGUGCAAAGCUAGAAGUUAAUUUCUGAACUUAGGUAUGUUAUUAUCAAUGGUUGAAUUUUCUAAGAUGUUUCUGUUUAUAGGAAUAAUAGUAGGACCAUCUUGAUCCCCAUGAUGUGUGGACUGGACACAUUGUUUGUGCUCCCAUUUAUCGUAUCUAGAAGGCCACCAGCUUCAUUCACGCUUCUAUGUAACUGCUUGAUGCACAAAUAAUCAUGCAUGAGGACUGAGGCGUAAUGCACUUUGAUAUUUCUAUUUUUCUUUAAUUGCUGCCAAAUUAUUGCCUUUGUAUUGAAGUGCAAGAAUGUUACCUCAACUGCAACUGCUUGACCAUUUCCUUCCCAGGACUGAAAGUUUUCUUGAAGCAAAGACGUCUAGCUGACAUGCUCUUCAUUUUUCUGGGUAGUAAUAUAGAAGAUGACACAGAUAGAGAUUUAUCUGUACCAUCCAGACAUACGUAUGUCCAUUUUUUAGAGUAGCCUAGGAAGUACACUGCAUACAACAUUCAUAAAUCACAAUCACAUAUUGUGCUCAUUGUCCAAUGUGUUGUAGGACUCGGUUAGGAUAUCAUGUUUGUGGGGCAAUCUGUUGUGGUUGCAAUGUUUAGUUCGUAAGUUAACUGCGAUUGUGUUUCACGCAUUUAGCUUAUAAAUUAAUGAAGUUUACACAUGUUCAGUUGGCAUUCAUGCUUUAUUUCUUUUAUUAGUUAGUUUACUGACCAUAUUGAGACAAUAAAUAUAAAAACUUUGCAGCUUAUGUUUCCUUCUGGAAACAUUAUUUUCGAUAAAUGUGAAUAACAAGAGUGUGUUACUGUCUUUAUCUUUAUUGGCUGUAGUUUUGAUCUACUUUUGUUACAAGAUAUUUCAUCAAUUCCUGUGUAGACAUACAUUUAUUGGUUUACUUCUGAAUGCAUCUUAAUCUGCACUUGUAGGCUCUCCGGGGUUUGAUGAUGUAUGUGAAUGUCUGAAUAAGUUAUUAUUAUUUUUCCAAUAAAUAGACACGCUAAUUAGAUCCAGAAAUGUGUCGUUACAUCUCAGCUUUGCAGCUUCACGCCGUAGUAUCAAAUUUUGGCAGCCGACUGGCCCUGCCUCCGUGGUUGUGGCACCAAGGUCACCACAUAUUACAUCUUGAUGCAUGUAAAACAAUAUGGUUAAGAUCCCUGUGUUUGGUUAAUUUAUGGACUUGCUGACAUAUAUAUUCAUUUCUAUUUUGUGCUCAUGAGGUACUUGAUGUGCGUACAAUAGGUGUGUUAGGCUGAAGCAUGAGGCUGGAAGGGAUCUUGUGCUAUGACGAGCAUUUGCUUUACCAAACCAAAAUGCAUUUGUUGGUCUCAUGUCCAUGAGAAGCUCCAGUUUUGUCGGCAAUAAACUGUAGCAAGUAGUGAUUGGUCCGAUGUCCUUCGUGGGAUGCAAUUAUGGCAUGGUUUCUCAAUAAAAAAAAUAGCUUCAUGUUGUAUAUGAGUAUGAUAGCCAUUCAUAUGUUGUUCUUCAUGUAUCAGAUUCCAGGAAUAUUUGGAUGGUUGAUGAGUUUCCCAUGUUUGAUGAAAUUUUACCUUUUCAAAAUCGGCCGAGGCUUGUGAGAAUAGCACCGCUGAACUGGUGGACACUUCUAUUUCAUCAUAUUUUAGGAAUUUUUAUUUUCAUAAUGAUUCUGAAACAAGGUCACUCCAAUCGAUCCUGCUCCUGUGUGGUGGCAGGAUGAUGGUUCAGGAACGCAGGGUGGGCGAAAGAAAACUAUGAUCGCUUUUAUCUCUGGUCAUUUGGAGCAUAUAUGGAGGGACAAAGACAGCGGGCUUUGAGUUUGAUAGUGUCUUCACGACGGUCCAGAGGGUCAUUGAUCCUGAUACUAGCACUAGGCUCACGUGAGCUUGGGUUGUUUGAUCGUGCCCGUUUGUGUAAAUACUCCCCUGUAAUAUAUGCAAUCCUAUUGCAUGGUUUGAAAAAAGAAUUAUUCUGAAACUGGAGUUUAGAGCAGUGUACACUGCUUGACCACAGCUAAACCUCCUAAUACAUGGAAUUUUUACAAAGCACACAUGGUGUCACUGGGUCUCU